UCGGAGGUGAAAGCCCGGGGCUCAACCCCGGAGGGUCUUUCGAAACUACUAAUCUAGAGAGGGUCAGGGGCCGGCAGAAUUCCUGGUGUAGAGGUGAAAUUCGUAGAUAUCAGGAGGAAUACCGGUGGCGAAGGCGGCCGGCUGGGGCCACUCUGACGCUGAGGCGCGAAAGCGUGGGGAGCAAACAGGAUUAGAUACCCUGGUAGUCCACGCCGUAAACGAUGAGCACUGGACGUCCGGAGGGUUCGACCCUUCUGGGUGUCUCAGCUAACGCAUUAAGUGCUCCGCCUGGGGAGUACGGUCGCAAGACUAAAACUCAAAUGAAUUGACGG
rnacentral:rRNA from 1 species